CAAUUCAGUUCUAACAUUGAUAAGCCAGAUGGGGGAAAGGUAUGGGGGAAUUAUCCAAGAAUUGAGGGAAAGUUUGCCCUGAUGUUUAUACUUCCAUAUCUACCCAACUGUUUGAAAGAUGAGCAAAUCAAUUUCUUGGCAUAACAGGUGCCAAUUUACAGGACCCAUAAGGAGUGCAUGGAUGGUGGCCAAAGAGAGUGUUUGCCCAAGAUAAAGUUGCUCAGCUUUUCAAAAGUAAAUGCAAGAUGAAAAUUUUCACUUUGAGAAUUUUCUUCCAAGAUGGAGGUAAGAGUGCUCUUCACAAAAGCCAAUCAAUUAUGUAGAAGAUGUGCUAAGCUUGCACACCCAAGUAACCCACCAGGAUUGGGGAGCAACCCUAGAGACACUUUCACAUAUACCUAAAUGGAGUGGGCAAAAGAAUACCCAUCACAAUAGGCUUAUUGAACCCUCUGGAAACCAGGAAAUCUGGUGGGAUAUGUUUUCCACUCUAGUUAUGGCAACUGUCCGGUUUAGAGUGAAGAUUUGAAAGCAUAACUUUAUCUAUACAUCUCAGAAUUAAGUCCUGUGCAAUGAUUCCAUGUUGGACCUUAUGUUGAUGAGCAUGGAUCCAUUGAAAGAUGCCCAUGGAUACUCAGAAUAGUUUCUCUUGUUCCUAAUGGCCUCCAGUCUAUUUUAUCCUGCCUUCAAACAGCUCAUUAAAAUAAAG
rnacentral:lncRNA from 1 species